rnacentral:ncRNA from 2 species
GGAUGGAAUAGAGGUGCAGACAACAAAAGUACUUUCAAGGAGAUUGGUCUCUAUGAUCUGAAAGAAAAGGGUUGCUUGCCGAAGUGCGGAAGAUGCCAAGUCUUCAGUGCUGGUCUUUCAUCAAAUAGGUGUAAGACUGUCACUAAAAGUAACCUUUUAGUGGAGUGCUAUCUUAUCU